rnacentral:rRNA from 1 species
CCUACGGGAGGCAGCAGUGGGGAAUAUUGGGCAAUGGGCGCAAGCCUGACCCAGCAACGCCGCGUGAAGGAAGAAGGCUUUCGGGUUGUAAACUUCUUUUCUCAGGGACGAAGCAAGUGAGAGUACCCGAAGAAAAAGCAUCGGCUAACUCCGUGCCAGCAGCCGCGGUAAUACGGAGGAUGCGAGCGUUAUCCGGAUUUAUUGGGUUUAAAGGGUGCGUAGGCGGACUGGAAAGUCAGCGGUAAAAUCGAGAGGCUCAACCUCUUUCCGCCGUUGAAACUGUCGGUCUUGAGUGGGCGAGAAGUAUGCGGAAUGCGUGGUGUAGCGGUGAAAUGCAUAGAUAUCACGCAGAACUCCGAUUGCGAAGGCAGCAUACCGGCGCCCGACUGACGCUGAGGCACGAAAGCGUGGGUAUCGAACAGGAUUAGAUACCCUAGUAGUC